UUUUUUUUUUUUUUUUUGAGAUGGAGUCUCACUCUGUCACCUAGGCUAGAGUGCGGUGGUGCCUCCCAGGUUCAAGCAAUUCUCCUGCCUCAGCCUUCUGAGUAGCUGGGAUUACAGGUGUGUGCCACCACACCCCGCUAAUUUUUUUGUAUUUUUAGUAGAGACAGGGUUUCACCAUGUUGGCCAAGCCGGUCUUGAACUCCUGAUCUUGUGAUGUGCCCACCUCGGCCUCCCAAAGCGCUAGGAUUACAGGUGUGAGCCACCGCGCUGGCCCCAUGUAAGAAUUAUUAAAGAGGGUGUGGCAGGUCUGUGAUUCUACUAAAAAGAUACCAAAAGUUGCUCUUAAAUAAUAUGAUGGCCGGGCACGGUGGCUCAAGCCUGUAAUCCCAGCACUUUGGGAGGCUGAGACGGGCGGAUCACGAGGUCAGGAGAUCGAGACCAUCCUGGCUAACACGAUGAAACCCCGUCUCUACUAAAAAAAAAUACAAAAAACUAGCCGGGCAAGGUGGCCGGUGCCUGUGGUCCCAGCUACUCCGGAGGCUGAGGCAGGAGAAUGGCGUAAACCCGGGAGGCGUAGCUUGCAGUAAGCUGAGGUCCGGCCACUGCACUCCAGCCUGGGCUACAGAGCAAGACUCCGUCUCAAUAAAUAAAUAAAUAAAUAAAUAAAUAAAUAAAUAAAUAAAUAAUAUGAUGGACUCUAUUUUAUUUCUCUUCGGGAGAACCAGCAUGACGCUUUCAAUAUCUGUGGAAAAACCAUCCUGCCUCCUUGUCACUUUCCCCAAAAGACCAAAACCAGCUCACUGCAUUCCUCCUCUCUCUUCAAACUCUAAGGAAGUCCAAAGCCUUUCAAGGGAGAUUUCUUUAUUAUUCCCAUACCCAACUCCAUCAGGAUGUGAUCACAUGUUACCAUCUCACCAAAUAAUGGAGACAGUGCAGAAUCAAUUACCAGAUAAAGGGAAAUAUUAAACCAAACAUGAGCACUGUCUGAGGGGCCAGUGUCUGGACAAGCGACCUCACGUUUGCUGCUACAUACUGAACACUUCUGUUCCCCCCAAAAUCAUGUUGAAACCUAACCCCCAAAGUGAUGGUAGUAGGAGGUUGGCCUUUGGGAGCGAACCGGGUCAUAGGGGCGGAACUCUCAUAACUGGGAUUCCUGCCCUUACAAAAGAGACCCUGGAGAGCUAACCAGUCCCUUCCACUACGUGAGGACACCGCAAGAAAGUGCCAUCUAUGAAUCAAAAAGCAGACCUCACAAGACACUCAAUCUGAUAGGGCCUUGAUCUCAGAAUUCCCAGCCUCCAGAACUGUGAGAAAUCAAUGUCUCUGUUGUAUAUAAGCCACCCAGUUCAUGGUAUUUUGUUAUAGGAGCAUGAAUUGGCUAAGACACUUGCCCUCUAUGUUUGGUUCUGGUAAGUUUCCUCCCUGGAACACCUGGAACCAAUUGUAAGCAUCCAGAAGGGGAGAAGUGGAUAUGAGGGCAUGAGACUUAGCCAAAACAAGGAUAUAUCAACUAACAAGAAAUGCAAGGACCCUCAAACCAGCUGACCCAUAAAUGCCUAGACUAAGCUCCACCGAGGUGAAGGCGCU
rnacentral:lncRNA from 1 species